CAGCCGCCGCGGUAAUACGAAGGGUGCAAGCGUUAAUCGGAAUUACUGGGCGUAAAGCGCGCGUAGGUGGUUUGGUAAGAUGGAUGUGAAAUCCCCGGGCUCAACCUGGGAACUGCAUCCAUAACUGCCUGACUAGAGUACGGUAGAGGGUGGUGGAAUUUCCUGUGUAGAGGUGAAAUGCGUAGAUAUAGGAAGGAACACCAGUGGCGAAGGCGACCACCUGGACUGAUACUGACACUGAGGUGCGAAAGCGUGGGGAGCAAACAGGAUUAGAUACCCCCGUAGUCCCUGUCUCUUAUAC
rnacentral:rRNA from 1 species